rnacentral:rRNA from 1 species
GACGAACGCUGGCGGCGUGCUUAACCCAUGCAAGUCGAACGAAGUGGCGAACGGGUGAGUAAUACGUGAGUAACCUGCCCUCCGUUUUGGGAUAAGCCUUGGAAACGGUGUCUAAUACCGAAUAAAGGGGGAUGGGCUCGAGGCCUAUCAGCUUGUUGGUGGGGUGAGGGCAUACCAAGGCGGUGCCGGGUAGCCGGCCGGAGAGGGUGACCGGCCACAUUGGGACUGAGAUACGGCCCAGACUCCUACGGGAGGCAGCAGUGGGGGAUAUUGCACAAUGGGCGAAAGCCUGAUGCAGCCAUGCCGCGUGUGUGAAGAAGGUCUUCGGAUUGUAAAGCACUUUAAGUUGGGAGGACUUACCAACAGAAUAAGCACCGGCUAACUUCGUGCCAGCAGCCGCGGUAAUAC